rnacentral:rRNA from 1 species
AUGAAUAGCAUGGUUUUAAUCCUACGGUCAUCGAAUAGUCUGGUAGAUGAACUCCUCGAGGAGGUCUUCAUCCGCCUCCCCACGGCCGCCGACCUCGCGCGCGCCUCCGCGGCCUGCGUCUCCUUCCGCCGUGUCAUCGCCGGCCACGUCUUCCUUCGCCGAUUCCGCGUCCUACACCCGCCGCCUCUCCUCGGCAUCCUCUGCUGGGAUCUCACCCCGGCGCAGCCGCCCCACCCUUCCGCCGCCGCAGCGGCCACCUUGGCCGGCGCCGACUUCUCGUGCUCCUUCCUCCCUCCGUCCCGCGACCGCUGGUGCCUCCGCGACGUCCGUGAUGGCCGCGCCCUUUUCUCCCCCGCCCUCGAGGGGACCGCCCGUUUUCCCGACUACCACUAUAACCCAAGCGAUCUGGUUACGGAGUUCGCCGUCUGCGACCCCCUGCACCGGCGCUACCUGCUUCUGCCCUCCGUCCCCGACCAUCUCGCCUGUCAAGCCCAUCCGCCGGACAUCCUGAAAUGCGAGCCCUUCCAUGCUCCUCCCGGCGACCAUGAGAAACCAUCGUUCAGAGACUUCAGAGUGAUGUGCUUAGUGUGGUGCAAAACCAAGCUCCUCCUCCUCGUCUUCUCUUCCUGCGCCGGACAAUGGCUCGCCGAUCCUAUUACUUUUGAAAUGAUGGAGUUAUCUGCCGUCAACCUUCCGUCUCCACCUGGCCGUUAUGGGCAGCAGAUGGCCAUUGUGGAGGCAGGAGAAGGAAGGCUUGGGAUGCUUACUAUCUGUGAUAAAAUUCAAAGUGAUGCAUAUCAUCUCUUUUAUGCUGUACAGUCUAGGGAUGGGAAUGGCGCAAACCAGUGGCAGUCCAAGUCCCUGAUCGCUUUGCCGGAAAAUUAUGGCUAUUGCAUCAUGGGUGUAGCCGGUGGAUACUUACUCCUAUGCGGGUAUCCGGAAGACAACAGGCCAAUAGUAGCCUAUUUUUCACUGAAUCUCCAGACUUUCCAGGUUGAGUGGUUCUGUCAGACUGAUGAUUAUGUCUUGAUUGGUGACCUAUCCAGCCGCCCCUUCCAUCUCCUCUUCCACAACCGGCCACCGUCCCGAUCUGAAGGUCUCCGACCAGAUCAGCCUCCUCCCCACCACGGCGUGCGGCGAGGAGUCCCCGGAUCGCUCGCCGUCACCCAGUGCGGUGCAGAUCUGGUAGUCCGCCCUCACCAAGCAUUCGAUGCGUUGACGGCUCCUAGCACCAGAUACCGCGACGAACGAGCUGUGUUCUGCCUCCUCCGGCUGCCGAGGACCACGGACGCCACUUCGUCUCACCGGCUGGCUCAGCAUCAGCACCGGCCACUACUCACAGGUGUGCAAAAUUGUUGCUACGUCAUGGAUCUAUCACUUUUGCUCUUGGUCUUGUGUUCUCCAGAACUCCUGGAGGAGAUCUUCCUCCGGCUCCCCGCGGCCGCCGACCUCGCCCGAGCCUCCGCGGCGUGCGUCUCCUUCCGCCGCGUCGUCGCCGCCCACCCCUUCCUCCGCCGAUUUCGCGCCAUCCACCCGCCGCCCCUCCUCGGCAUCCUCUGCGGCGGCCUCACCCCCGCCCAGCCGCCCCACCCUUCCGCCGCCGCGGCGGCCACCUUCGCCGACGCCGACUUCUCCUGCUCCUUCCUCCCCCCGUCCCGCGACCGCUGGUGCCUCCGUGAGGUCCGCGACGGCCGCGCCCUUUUCUCCCCCGCCCUGCAAGGGACCAACCACAAUUACAACCCCAGCGAUCUGGUCAAGGAAUUCGCCGUCUGCGACCCCCUGCACCACCGCUACCUCCUGCUACCUGUCCUCCCCGACCAUCUAGCCAGUCAAGUCCAUCCGCCGGACACCGUGGAAUGCGAGACCUUCUUCGCUCCUCCUGGCGACGAUGAGGACUCAUCAUUCAGAGACUUCAGAGUUAUGUGCUUGGUGCGGUCCAUAACCAAGCUCGUCCUCUUCGUCUUCUCUUCCUGCGCUGGAAGAUGGCUCGCUGAUCCGAUCACAUUUGAUGUGCUUGGAUGCGCGGUGGUAUCACGCCGCUACUACGCCCAUCGAUGCUUCCGUUGGCCAGAUUUAUGA